rnacentral:rRNA from 1 species
UACGGAGGGGCUAGCGUUGUUCGGAAUUACUGGGCGUAAAGCGCGCGUAGGCGGACCUGCAAGUCGGGGGUGAAAGCCCGAGGCUCAACCUCGGAACUGCCUUCGAUACUGCGGGUCUCGAGUCCGGGAGAGGUGAGUGGAAUUCCUAGUGUAGCGGUGAAAUGCGCAGAUAUCAGGAAGAACACCAAUGGCGAAAGCAGCUCUCUGGGACGGUACUGACGCUGAGACGCGAAAGCGUGGGAGCGAACAGG